AUUGAACGCUGGCGGAAUGCUUUACACAUGCAAGUCGAACGGCAGCACGGGGGCAACCCUGGUGGCGAGUGGCGAACGGGUGAGUAAUACAUCGGAACGUGCCCAGUCGUGGGGGAUAACGUAGCGAAAGUUACGCUAAUACCGCAUACGAUCUACGGAUGAAAGCGGGGGACCGUAAGGCCUCGCGCGAUUGAAGCGGCCGAUGUCAGAUUAGGUAGUUGGUGAGGGAAAGGCUCACCAAGCCGACGAACUGUAGCUGGUCUGAGAGGACGACCAGCCACACUGGGACUGAGACACGGCCCAGACUCAUACGGGAGGCAGCAGUGGGGAAUUUUGGACAAUGGGCGCAAGCCUGAUCCAGCCAUUCCGCGUGCAUGACGAAGGCCUUCGGGUUGUAAACUGCUUUUGUACGGAACGAAAAGGCUCUGGUUAAUACCUGGGGCUCAUGACGGUACCGUAAGAAUAAGCACCGGCUAACUACGUGCCAGCCGCCGCGGUAA
rnacentral:rRNA from 1 species